CCUACGGGUGGCAGCAGUGGGGAAUAUUGCACAAUGGUGGGAACCCUGAUGCAGCGACGCCGCGUGAGUGAAGAAGUAUCUCGGUACGUAAAGCUCUAUCAGCAGGGAAGAAAAUGACGGUACGUGACUAAGAAGCCCCGGCUAACUACGUGCCAGCAUCCGCGGUACUACGUCGGGGGCAAGCGUGAUCCGGAUUAACUGGGUGUAAAGGGGGCUUAGACGGCUCUGCAAGUACGGAGUGAAAACCCAAGGCUUAACCAUGGGACUGGGCUGGAAACUGUGGAGCUUGAGUGCGGGAGGGGAAGGCGGAAUGCGUAGUGUAGCGGUGAAAUGCGUAGAUAUUAGGAGGAACACCGGCGGCGAAGGCGGCCUGCUGGACCGUAACUGACGUUGAGGCUCGAAAGCGUGGGGAGCAAACAGGAUUAGAUACCCCUGUAGUC
rnacentral:rRNA from 1 species